rnacentral:lncRNA from 1 species
CAACAUUAUGAAACUAAUAACCACAUAUAGUCAGCAUAUCACCAUUGCAACCAAUGUAUGUUAAGCCCUUGAUACUCAUAACCCAACUUAUAUACCUCAUAACCAAGCAAACACAAUAAGGUUAGCUUCCCUUACCUUAACUUUUUCAGAGGCUUGCUCACGCUUUUAGGUUUCUCACGGUUGUGCUGCUCCCCUUUUCUUCUCAAUCUCUCUCGCGGUCCCUCACCAACCAGGAUGAAGCUCGGGUUGGUUUUCUCUUUUUACUUUUUCUUUUCUGCCCUUUUUAAAAUAGUUUCCGAUCAUCCUAUAUCAUCCUCCAACCCCUCUAUGUAACUGCCCUAGGUCUACUCUAAGAUGACCCAAACACAGCUUCUCAUACAUUCCAAGUCCGGCCCAAAGAAGUUCUCACAACAUCUACCAAUUAUAUCUCUUAAACUCUGACCUAAAAUCUUAUUUUUCUGUUAUGAUCUCCCAUCACCGCCUUCUCUUUUAAAAUACUUAACGUCCUAAAAGAGGUUGUCGUUUAAGGAAAUAAAUCUGCGUUUAAAACUCUGAAGCUACCACCCAUUCCUAACAUUAUGAUUGCAAGAAAAUAAAGCUUUGAGGAAAAAAAAAAGCUGGAAUAAACUCCCCUGGAAUAAACUUUCAACCAAUAAAUACAAAGAACAAUAUUUUCUCUCUCCUGUCCCUAAGAGCUAACGAGACCAUGCAAAGCAGUAAAAUGUUCUC